rnacentral:rRNA from 1 species
AGAGUUUGAUCCUGGCUCAGGACGAACGCUGGCGGCGUGCUUAACACAUGCAAGUCGAGCGGAAAGGCCCUUCGGGGUACUCGAGCGGCGAACGGGUGAGUAACACGUGGGUAACCUGCCCCUUGCUCUGGGAUAACUCCGGGAAACCGGGGCUAAUACCGGAUAUGACACUUGAAGGCAUCUUUGGGUGUGGAAAGUUUUUCGGCGAGGGAUGGGCCCGCGGCCUAUCAGCUUGUUGGUGGGGUGAUGGCCUACCAAGGCGGUGACGGGUAGCCGGCCUGAGAGGGCGACCGGCCACACUGGGACUGAGACACGGCCCAGACUCCUACGGGAGGCAGCAGUGGGGAAUAUUGCGCAAUGGGCGAAAGCCUGACGCAGCGACGCCGCGUGAGGGAUGACGGCCUUCGGGUUGUAAACCUCUUUCAGCAGGGACGAAGCGCAAGUGACGGUACCUGCAGAAGAAGCACCGGCCAACUACGUGCCAGCAGCCGCGGUAAUACGUAGGGUGCAAGCGUUGUCCGGAAUUAUUGGGCGUAAAGAGCUCGUAGGCGGCUUGUCACGUCGACUGUGAAAACCCGGGGCUCAACUCCGGGCCUGCAGUCGAUACGGGCUGGCUUGAGUGCGGUAGGGGAGACUGGAAUUCCUGGUGUAGCGGUGAAAUGCGCAGAUAUCAGGAGGAACACCGGUGGCGAAGGCGGGUCUCUGGGCCGUAACUGACGCUGAGGAGCGAAAGCGUGGGGAGCGAACAGGAUUAGAUACCCUAGUAGUCC